UACGUAGGGGGCAAGCGUUGUCCGGAAUUAUUGGGCGUAAAGAGCUCGUAGGCGGUCUGUCGCGUCGGCUGUGAAAACCCGGGGCUCAACCCCGGGCCUGCAGUCGAUACGGGCAGACUAGAGUGCGGUAGGGGAGACUGGAAUUCCUGGUGUAGCGGUGAAAUGCGCAGAUAUCAGGAGGAACACCGAUAGCGAAGGCAGCUCGCUGGGACGGUACUGACGCUGAGGUGCGAAAGCGUGGGGAGCGAACAGG
rnacentral:rRNA from 1 species